AUUUUUAUAAAACUUUUUUUAUUCAUUUGCUGUAAUUAAAAUUUCAUUAAUAUGUAUUAUAUUGUGUUUGUUAUCCAAUGUUUCUACUUAGCUUCGAUAGCAAGUAUAUUUUUUCUCAGACUUUCUAUUACAAUUCAUAUAUUCUACAAAACAUUUUUUUUCUGUUUAACUUCUGAUAUUGAAUGUUUAUGCUCUUAAAAAUUAAUAAAAUGCUAGCAUUCUAUAGAAUGCCUGAUGUAUUUCAUAAUUUUCUAAUUCGUCAUUGAGUAUUCUCAAGAACAUCUAGACACUGAAUGAAAUGUUUAAUCAUUUCAUGCUUUGUCAGCCAGUUUUAAGGAUUCUAUAAAAUGCUAAAUUUCAAAUUUUAUUGGUAUUCUGCUAAAAUAAGCUGCUUAAUAUGUGUUUUUUAAUACAAAAAAAAUUUUGUUUUCAGGCUGCACUGAAAUCCAAUUUGGAACUAAAGCUUAUUGCUGUCGUUAUUGUUCCUAUCAAAAUCCUUAUAGAAGCAAGCUCCAGAGGCAUAUGCUAACUCAUAGUGGAGAAAAACCGUAUGUGUGUUUGCUUUGCCCUAAAGCUUUCAGCCAAAAAAGUAAUUUGAAGAAGCAUCUAGUGGUCAUUCAUAAGAACACUGAAUAACAGUUGUAAUAUCUUGAAACAUUUUGUGUCUGUUCUUUUGGUGAAAUCCUCCGGCUUUCUGCCAGCUGAUCGAUAAAUUAUUCUACUGUUCAAUAUGCCCUUUUAAAAAUCGGCAUAAAAGCAAAUUUCUUCGACAUCUACGCUUCCAUACUGGGGAAAAGCCUUUUGUAUGCCAUCUAUGUGCAAAAGCAUUUUGUCGAAAAGAAAGACUGAGAUCUCAUAUAUCAUCUGUGCAUGUCAAAGAAAAGCCAUUCCCAUGCACAUUUUGCCAGAAAGUUUUUACCAGAAAAGAUCACUUAAAAUACCAUCUGCUAACAGUGCAUGGAAAUGCCAAUUUAUCAACAAUGCAAUAAAACACUAAUUGGCUAACUAUAUAUGAUGAUACUAACUUACCAAAUAUUCCUUCUAACCUCUUAAUGCAAAGAGAAAUUUCAAUCUUACUGUUAAAUCUCUGAACUGAUACAUUUAACAAUUGUUAACAAUGUUUAGUUUUAUUUUAUGUAUUAUAUAUUAUUAUUGUACAUGUUUACUAUUCUACUUUUAUGCAACAUAUGUCAGAAGAAAAAAACAAUAUACAGUGUAAGAAAUGUAACUUAUAUUGUUAAUUUUUUAAAAAAUUUUCCGACCUUUCAAGAAAGAAAGAAACGUUUUUAUGACAAUUUCAUUUAACUUAGAUUGAAAGCAUUUAAUCUAAAGUGGCCAUUUGAUAUUUUAAUAAAUUUAUAAAUGAAUUUUUAAUGUACUACUAUUCUUUUCAUGUGGAUUUAAGCUAAAAACUGUCAAUGUUUUUUUUAUUUAUUGCUGUUCUUUUCGAUAGUGUCCAAUCUAGUGAUGUGUGUUUAAUCGUUCUGUUGUAUAAGCAAGAUGAAAAACAAUUCAUAUGUUCAUGCUAUGUCUGGUAUCAAAUAUUUCUUCCAGUUGUAACUACUGCCUUUUUCUUCGAUAAAAAUUAACAGUUCCAUUGUUUUUUAUAAAUCAUUACCUACUGCUUUAUUUUCCUCGUGAGAUGUGAUAGCCAGGAAAUGUCUCUUAUAUAUAACUUCAAUAUUACAUUUCUAACUCAUUUAGAUUAAUUCUUCAACUAGUAUUGCUGCUUCGAGUUGGUCACUUUAAAGUGUUUUUUGAAGCUCUUUUUAAUAAAGAAAACUUUUUAAAAAAACCUAGCACACAAUAUAUUUAAAAAUAACCUAUUUGUCAAAACUUUUCCAGCUAAAAGAAAAUUGGUGAUAUCAUUUUUGAAAUUUUUAAUGAGCCCUGACAGUGCUGAAUUUAAUUGACUUUUAAACCAUUAAAAAUUAUAUCACUAACACUUUUUCACCAAAUUGUGUGAAUUUUUCUGAAAUUUGUCGUUUUGCGCCAUUUUUGUUAUUAGCGUAAAGA